CUGCACUUAAUUUUUACCCUAUUAGCAGCUAGGAACUGUAUGUCACGUGGGGGGGGGAAGAAAAGACUUCAGGGGCUUUCCAGCUGUUGAAAACAGAUGGCUGUAAACAAAAGACUUAGGAGCUAAUACUUAUAUUUCCAAAAGCCUUUGCUUUGUUCAGGUCACAGCUCUGCUGCUGCAGUGGGGGGAGAGAUUGCAAAGUGCAGCUCGUUCCCAGUCGGUGCUAAUCUUGGAGAUGAAGAGCACCUUUGUCUGAAGAGUGCCACCAGUGCUGUUUGGAGAUGUUUCGGAAUAUUUAAAAAUAGACAUUUCAGAGCCACGUGUGCUGUCAGCGCAUCCCAAACUUCGCAGCAGGGUUACAGGGACUGCGCCACGUGCUGAGACGGAGGCGAUGCGGGAGUGCAAUGUGGUGCAGUGGGAAAGAAGAGGGGAUGUGCUGUGUGCCACCAGGGCUGUGCCUUCGUGCCUUCCUCCCACGGUGAGUUCACAGAGCGCUGG
ensembl:lncRNA